rnacentral:misc_RNA from 1 species
UCCGGUUUAACACCGGCAGUCCCUUUAGAGUGCCCAACUGAAUGAUGGCAACUAAAGGCAAGGGUUGCGCUCGUUGCGGGACUUAACCCAACAUCUCACGACACGAGCUGACGACAGCCAUGCAGCACCUGUGCACGGGCCCCGAAGGACACCACAUCUCUGUGGCUUUUCCUGCGUAGUUCAACCCAGGUAAGGUUCUUCGCGUUGCCUCGAAUUAAACCACACGCUCCGCUGCUUGUGCGGGCCCCCGCCUAUUCCUUUGAGUUUUAACCUUGCGGCCGUAGUCCCCAGGCGGUGAACUUAAUGCGUUAGCUGCGCCACUGAAGAGCAAGCUCCCCAACGGCUAGCAUCCAUCGUUUACAGCGUGGACUAC